rnacentral:tRNA from 1 species
GGGGCUGUGGUUUAGGGGUAUAACAUUCCUUUCGCACAUCAUAUGAUUCAAUAUGAUUAGACUAGGAAAGGUCUUGGGUUCGAUUCCCAACCGCUCCA